GUCAGGUGUCAUGGGGUCAUGGAUGCUGGUUCUGUGUACCACAGUCACUCUGAUGCCUGUGUGUCUUCAUGGAGCAAUAUCAGUCCGCUUUAAGACCGGACGGCCUCUCUAUGUGGCACUCGGCCGAACUCUUGUUUUGGAAGUCGAAUUCAAGAAGGACUCGGACGACAAAAUAGACAUGGUGACGUGGGACCGCGAGAGAGGAAAUGUCACUGUCAGACUGUCACAUGGAAACAGAAUAUCUUUGGAGAAUGGAGAUGCACUUCUGCGGGUCACUGAUGUUGCAGAAGGGGACCUUGCGAUCUACAAAGUCACCGUUACAGACAGUAACGGAUACCAGCAGCACGACUCCAUAGAAGUACGAAAGACAGUGGAAUCUCCAAAGGCGUCAAUUACACGUGUGCUGGAGUGUGUUGUGGAUAAUCAUGGCAUGACUCAGUGGGACAGCCCUCAGUUUUCAUGGCUGGUUGAUGGUGUUACAGUAACCAAUCAAUCCGCCCUGUUAACUAAUGGCAGUAGACUAGAUAUCUCUGGGAUUAAGGGUGUUAACUACACCUGCAUCAUCAACAGCAGCCUGGGGACACUCACAACACAUUAUGAAAUGCCAAAAGGAGACACAGGUGUGGAUGUAACAGAAGAGAGAGACUGA
ensembl:lncRNA